rnacentral:rRNA from 1 species
CGUCCAGCCCGCUCAGAAACUCAAAUGAAUUGACGGGGCCCGCACAAGCGGUGGAGCAUGUGGUUAAUUCGAAGCAACGCGAAGAACCUUACCAGGCCUUGACAUGCAGAGAACUUUCCAGAGAUGGAUUGGUGCCUUCGGGAACUCUGACACAGGUGCUGCAUGGCUGUCGUCAGCUCGUGUCGUGAGAUGUUGGGUUAAGUCCCGCAACGAGCGCAACCCUUGCCUUUAGUUGCCAGCAGUUCGGCUGGGCACUCUAAAGGGACUGCCGGUGUUAAACCGGAGGAAGGUGGGGAUGACGUCAAGUCCUCAUGGCCUUUAUGACCAGGGCUACACACGUGCUACAAUGGUCGGUACAAAGGGUUGCCAAGCCGCGAGGUGGAGCUAAUCCCAUAAAACCGAUCGUAGUCCGGAUCGCAGUCUGCAACUCGACUGCGUGAAGUCGGAAUCGCUAGUAAUCGUGAAUCAGAAUGUCACGGUGAAUACGUUCCCGGGCCUU